AAUGAAAUGCCUGAAUAAAGGAUUAUUUUGAUAGAAUAAAUCAUACAUUAAUAAUGUUUUCAUUA
rnacentral:tRNA from 1 species